rnacentral:rRNA from 1 species
UACGUAGGAUGCAAGCGUUAAUCGGAAUUACUGGGCGUAAAGCGUGCGCAGGCGGCUUUGCAAGACAGAUGUGAAAUCCCCGGGCUUAACCUGGGAACUGCAUUUGUGACUGCAUGGCUGGAGUGCGGCAGAGGGGAUGGAAUUCCGGCGUGAGCAGUGAAAUGCGUAGAUAUCGUAAGGAAGACCAGUGGCGAAGGCGGGGUCUCUGGACAGUUCCUGACGCUGAGGCACGAAGGCCAGGGGAGCAAACGGGG